CUGGCCAAAGGCACACCCCAAACACAGGUCUCCUUUCAGGAUCUGCAGGGUUUGAGCAAGCCAGACCUCCCUGACGCCCUCUCCUGGGCUGGCACCCUUUCCUAUGCCUGCUUCGAGCAAGGUUCACACAGGCCAACCUAUUACUAAGCAGACCUCCUAGGUCAUUACUGCAUCUACUUUUCUACUCUCCAGUUGAAAGCACAUGAAAAGAUCUCAUCCGUGUGCCCCUCAAGAACCUGGAGGCACUGACCAGUCUGAGCAUCCCAGAUUCUAGCUGUUUCGUCAGCGCUGCCAGUCAGAAGACGAUUCCCUUGGGGGUUGAAAGAAAUCUACAAGAGGGAAAGGAAAAAUGACAGGCAUUUCCUUCUAGCUUCUUUGUGGAUGUAAACUGGUACAGUCAUGAUGGAAGACAGGAUAGUUGUUCCAAAAAAAUUAAAAAUAGAACUACCAUAUGAUCCAGCAACCUUACUUCUGGGUACGUAUCCAAAAAAAAAUGAAAUCGGAACCUCAUAGAUAUAUUUGCACUCUCAUGUUCUUUGCAGCAUUGUUCACAGUAGCCAAGAUACAGAAACAACAUAAAUGUCCAUCAAGGAAUGAAUGGAAUAUUAUUCCAUAAGAAGGAAGGAAAUUUUGCCAUUUGCAACAACAUGGAUGAACUUGGAGGACAUUAUUCUAAGUGAAAUAAGCCAGACAUGGAAAGACAAAUAUGUCUGAUCUCACUUAUAUGUAGAACCUUAAAAAAAAAGUCAAAUUCAUAGGAGCAGAGAAUAGAACAGUAGUCACCAGGGGCUGGGGAGUGGGAGAAAUGGAGAGAUGCUGGUCAAAGGGUGUAACAUUGCAGAUAUGUGGGAUGAGUAAGUCUAGAGAUGUUAUACACAGGUAUGAUGACUAUAGUUAAUAACAUUGAAUACUGGAAAUAUGCUGAAAGAAUACAUUUCAAGUGCUUUCUUUACACAAAAUAGUGGUAACUGUGAAGAGUUAAUAUGUUAAAUAACUUGACUAUAACAAUUACUUUAUUAUGUAUAUGUAUGUCAAAUCAUGUUAUGCACCUUAAAUAUAUAAAGUUUAUUUUUUUAAAAAAGGACAUUUUUAUUCCUUAGUUGUUAAAAAUUAGACAUAAGGAAUAGAAAUGGAAAUACAGAAAUACAUAGGUGGAACAUAGGGGAUUCUCAGGGCAGAGAAACUGCUCUGUGUGAUGCCUUAAUGGUGGAUAACUGUCAUUACAUGUUUGUCAACCCAUCGAAUGUACAAAAGCAAAAGCAAGCCCUAAUGUAAACUAUGAACUUUGAAUGAUAAUGAUGUGUUUGUCAAUGUAGGUCUAUCAACUGUAAGAAAUGCACAAGUCAUUGGGGGAAGAUGACAAGGAGGAAAUCUGAGGGUGUGUAGGUAUCUGUACCUUCCACCCCAUUUUGCUAUAAACCUAAAACUGCUUUAAAAUUCUAAUACAUUUUUAAUUUUUUUUUCAUUUUAAAAUCUUAAAAUUUUAAGGGCGUCUGGAUGACCCAGUUAAGAGUCUGCCUUCUGGGACCCCUGGGUGGCU